GAGAAACUGGCAUCCAGAGAAGUGAUGUGUUUUGCCACGUCAAGGCUCCUCCUUCUCACUGGAUUCACUUCUUUUCCUACAGAGUUUAAACUCUCUUCCCUCUUCAUCCCAACUUCUUGGCUUCUCUGCCUUUUUUCAUGUGUCAGCAAAAAUCCCACCUUCUUCAAGAGGACUUUUCCAGACCUUCAUUUCAGUACUAAAGAAAAAAAAGUAGCAGCUAAUAAAUAGAUUGAAACUCUUCAAAGACUAUUUAAAGGGAGAAAAAUCACUACUGUUGGCCAAGAACAAGUUCUGAAAUAGGUAUUGAGGACCUGGAAGAGAAAUCAAUUUGGUGAUACAUUUGUACCAGAACACAGUUAAAGGGAAGCCUUUUUCCAGUGUGAAAUAAGCUGUUAAGUGAUCCUGCCAUGGCUCUUCUCAACAAUGAGACUAUUGAGGCCAGUUCCAAAGACCUUGUGAUGAAGAAAACUAUCUACAUCCAGAGAGAGGACUGUAGGAACUGAAUGUGGAUCACAACAUAGCAUUUUCACUCUUUUUUGUUGUUGCUUGCUUGCAUUUUAUUUUCUUUCUCAUUUUUUUCUUUUUUAAUCUGAUUUUUCUUGUGUGGCAAGAUAAUUGUAUAAAUAGGCAUGCAUUUAUUGAAUUAACAUAUAUUUU
rnacentral:lncRNA from 1 species